rnacentral:rRNA from 1 species
GGUUAAGUGACUAAGCGUACACGGUGGAUGCCUUGGCAGUCAGAGGCGAUGAAAGACGUAGUAACUUGCGAUAAGCCCAGAUUAGGUAGUAACAACCAUUUGAGUCUGGGAUUUCUGAAUGGGGAAACCCACGUGCAUAAGCACGUAUCCUUACCUGAAUACAUAGGGUAAGGAGGCGAACCGGGGGAACUGAAACAUCUAAGUACCCCGAGGAAAAGAAAUCAACCGAGAUUCCGAAAGUAGCGGCGAGCGAAAUUGGACUAGCCCUUAAGCUUUACACGCGUUAGACGAACGGUCUGGAAAGUCCGACGAUACAGGGUGAUAGUCCCGUAGUUGACGACGUGUGUUCAGUGAAAUCGAGUAGGGCGGGACACGUGAUAUCCUGUCUGAAUAUGGGGGGACCAUCCUCCAAGGCUAAAUACUACUGACUGACCGAUAGUGAACCAGUACCGUGAGGGAAAGGCGAAAAGAACCCCUGUGAGGGGAGUGAAAUAGAACCUGAAACCGUGUACGUACAAGCAGUAGGAGCAGGCUUUGUCCUGUGACUGCGUACCUUUUGUAUAAUGGGUCAGCGACUUAUAUUCAGUGGCAAGGUUAACCAUCUAGGGGAGCCGUAGGGAAACCGAGUCUUAACUGGGCGUUCAGUCUCUGGAUAUAGACCCGAAACCAGGUGAUCUAGCCAUGGGCAGGUUGAAGGUUGAGUAACAUCAACUGGAGGACCGAACCGACUAAUGUUGAAAAAUUAGCGGAUGACUUGUGGCUAGGGGUGAAAGGCCAAUCAAACCUGGAGAUAGCUGGUUCUCCCCGAAAGCUAUUUAGGUAGCGCCUCGGACGAAUACUACUGGGGGUAGAGCACUGUUAAGGCUAGGGGGUCAUCCCGACUUACCAACCCUUUGCAAACUCCGAAUACCAGUAAGUACUAUCCGGGAGACACACGGCGGGUGCUAACGUCCGUCGUGGAGAGGGAAACAACCCAGACCGCCAGCUAAGGUCCCAAAUUACUACUAAGUGGGAAACGAUGUGGGAAGGCUCAGACAGCCAGGAUGUUGGCUUAGAAGCAGCCAUCAUUUAAAGAAAGCGUAAUAGCUCACUGGUCGAGUCGGCCUGCGCGGAAGAUGUAACGGGGCUAAGUAGUAAACCGAAGCUGCGGCAAUGUGCUUUUGCACAUUGGGUAGGGGAGCGUUCUGUAAGCGGUUGAAGGCGUGUGGUAACGCAUGCUGGACGUAUCAGAAGUGCGAAUGCUGACAUGAGUAACGAUAAAGGGGGUGAAAAACCUCCUCGCCGGAAGACCAAGGGUUCCUGUCCAACGUUAAUCGGGGCAGGGUAAGUCGACCCCUAAGGCGAGGCCGAAAGGCGUAGUCGAUGGGAAACGGGUUAAUAUUCCCGUACUUCUUACAAUUGCGAUGGGGGGACGGAGAAGGCUAGGUGGGCCUGGCGACGGUUGUCCAGGUUCAAGUGCGUAGGCUUAAGAGUUAGGUAAAUCCGGCUCUUUUUAAGGCUGAGACACGACGUCGAGCACCUACGGGUGUGAAGUCAUUGAUGCCAUGCUUCCAGGAAAAGCCUCUAAGCUUCAGAUUGUAAGGAAUCGUACCCCAAACCGACACAGGUGGUCGGGUAGAGAAUACCAAGGCGCUUGAGAGAACUCGGGUGAAGGAACUAGGCAAAAUGGUACCGUAACUUCGGGAGAAGGUACGCUCUCGACGGUGAAGUCCCUCGCGGAUGGAGCUAUUGAGAGUCGCAGAUACCAGGUGGCUGCAACUGUUUAUUAAAAACACAGCACUGUGCAAAAUCGUAAGAUGACGUAUACGGUGUGACGCCUGCCCGGUGCCGGAAGGUUAAUUGAUGGGGUUAGACUUCGGUCGAAGCUCUUGAUCGAAGCCCCGGUAAACGGCGGCCGUAACUAUAACGGUCCUAAGGUAGCGAAAUUCCUUGUCGGGUAAGUUCCGACCUGCACGAAUGGCGUAAUGAUGGCCACGCUGUCUCCACCCGAGACUCAGUGAAAUUGAAAUCGCUGUGAAGAUGCAGUGUACCCGCGGCUAGACGGAAAGACCCCGUGAACCUUUACUACAGCUUGGCACUGAACAUUGACCCUACAUGUGUAGGAUAGGUGGGAGGCUUUGAAGCACGUACGCCAGUAUGUGUGGAGCCGUCCUUGAAAUACCACCCUUGUAGUGUUGAUGUUCUAACGUCGACCCCUAAUCGGGGUUGCGGACAGUGCCUGGUGGGUAGUUUGACUGGGGCGGUCUCCUCCCAAAGAGUAACGGAGGAGCACGAAGGUGGGCUAAUCACGGUUGGACAUCGUGAGGUUAGUGCAAUGGCAUAAGCCCGCUUGACUGCGAGAAUGACAAUUCGAGCAGGUGCGAAAGCAGGUCAUAGUGAUCCGGUGGUUCUGAAUGGAAGGGCCAUCGCUCAACGGAUAAAAGGUACUCCGGGGAUAACAGGCUGAUACCGCCCAAGAGUUCAUAUCGACGGCGGUGUUUGGCACCUCGAUGUCGGCUCAUCACAUCCUGGGGCUGAAGUCGGUCCCAAGGGUAUGGCUGUUCGCCAUUUAAAGUGGUACGCGAGCUGGGUUUAGAACGUCGUGAGACAGUUCGGUCCCUAUCUGCCGUGGGCGUUGGAAGAUUGAAGGGGGCUGCUCCUAGUACGAGAGGACCGGAGUGGACGAACCUCUGGUGUUCGGGUUGUGUCGCCAGACGCAUUGCCCGGUAGCUAAGUUCGGAAUCGAUAACCGCUGAAAGCAUCUAAGCGGGAAGCGAGCCCUGAGAUGAGUCUUCCCUGAUACUUUAAGUAUCCUAAAGGGUUGUCGGAGACUACGACGUUGAUAGGUCAGGUGUGUAAGUGCUGUGAGGCAUUGAGCUAACUGAUACUAAUUGCCCGUGAGGCUUAACCAU